rnacentral:rRNA from 1 species
GACGAACGCUGGCGGCGUGCCUAAUACAUGCAAGUAGAACGCACAGUUUAUACCGUAGCUUGCUACACCAUACACUGUGAGUUGCGAACGGGUGAGUAACGCGUAGGUAACCUGCCUGGUAGCGGGGGAUAACUAUUGGAAACGAUAGCUAAUACCGCAUAAUAUUGAUUAUUGCAUGAUAAUUGAUUGAAAGAUGCUAUUGCAUCACUACCAGAUGGACCUGCGUUGUAUUAGCUAGUAGGUGAGGUAACGGCUCACCUAGGCGACGAUACAUAGCCGACCUGAGAGGGUGAUCGGCCACACUCGGACUGAGACACGGCCCAGACUCCUACGGGAGGCAGCAGUAGGGAAUCUUCGGCAAUGGACGAAAGUCUGACCGAGCAACGCCGCGUGAGUGAAGAAGGUUUUCGGAUCGUAAAGCUCUGUUGUAAGAGAAGAACGGGUGUGAGAGUGGAAAGUUCACACUGUGACGGUAUCUUACCAGAAAGGGACGGCUAACUACGUG